GUAUGUUAGAGGUACUGGAUAUAUAUAGAUUAAAGGGUAUGUUAGAGGUACUGGAUAUAUAUAGAUUAAAGGGUAUGUUAGAGGUAUCAGGGUGGAUAUAUAUAGAUUAAAGGGUAUGUUAGAGGUACUGGAUAUAUAUAGAUUAAAGGGUAUGUUAGAGGUAUCAGGGUGGAUAUAUAUAGAUUAAAGGGUAUGUUAGAGGUACUGGAUAUAUAUAGAUUAAAGGGUAUGUUAGAGGUAUCAGGGUGGAUAUAUAUAGAUUAAAGGGUAUGUUAGAGGUAUCAGGGUGGAUAUAUAUAUAUAUUAAAGGGUAUGUUAGAGGUAUCAGGGUGGAUAUAUAUAGAUUAAAGGGUAUGUUAGAGGUAUCAGCGUGGAUAUAUAUAGAUUAAAGGGUAUGUUAGAGGUAUCAGGGUGGAUAUAUAUAGAUUAAAGGGUAUGUUAGAGGUAUCAGCGUGGAUAUAUAUAGAUUAAAGGGUAUGUUAGAGGUAUCAGGGUGGAUAUAUAUAGAUUAAAGGGUAUGUUAGAGGUAUCAGCGUGGAUAUAUAUAGAUUAAAGGGUAUGUUAGAGGUAUCAGGGUGGAUAUAUAUAGAUUAAAGGGUAUGUUAGAGGUAUCAGCGUGGAUAUAUAUAGAUUAAAGGGUAUGUUAGAGGUAUCAGGGUGGAUAUAUAUAGAUUAAAGGGUAUGUUAGAGGUAUCAGGGUGGAUAUAUAUAGAUUAAAGGGUAUGUUAGAGGUACUGGAUAUAUAUAGAUUAAAGGGUAUGUUAGAGGUAUCAGCGUGGAUAUAUAUAUAGAUUAAAGGGUAUGUUAGAGGUACUGGAUAUAUAUAGAUUAAAGGGUAUGUUAGAGGUAUCAGCGUGGAUAUAUAUAGAUUAAAGGGUAUGUUAGAGGUAUCAGGGUGGAUAUAUAUAGAUUAAAGGGUAUGUUAGAGGUAUCAGCGUGGAUAGAGAUGUCAGGCUAAGGUGUAGAGAGAGGGGCCUGAGUGAAGGAAGCUUUCUGAACACUCGGCCGUGCGUCCCAAAUGAUACCCCGUUACCUUCAUAGUGCACGACUCUUGACCAGAGCCCUGUGUGGAAUAGGUGUCAUUUGGGAUACAUCCCUUCUAUCAGAUGCUGUGGUCAGGCUGGAUACCUGUCUGCCUGUCUGCCUGCCUGCCUGUAGGCCCCGUCAGAGCAGCUGGCCACUAAACCAGUUGGUCCACUCCCCUCUCCAGGCUGUCUCUGAACCCUUGGACCGAGCUGAUAAAGCUGUUAAGAGGCAUUGCUAGAUUUCCUUUGUACUGGGGGCCUGCAAGGACCAGGUACACACACACCUACGCACUUACACACCUACAGUACGCAAACACACACAUACACACACACACACACACACACACACCCAGUGAGGUCCAGGUGCACCUAACCACCUCAUCCACCCACACGUUGGCCGCGAUGACACCGAAACAACGUCAGUCAGGAUCUCUGGCACAACUACAGUCAGGAGCACAUUAUCCCUCCUGUGGCUCAAAUGGCAUCCUAUUCCCAUAGGGCCCUGGUCAACAGUAGGGCCCUAUUCCCUAUAUACCCUCCACUGUGUUUUUCAGAGCAGAUUGUGUACUCUGGUUGGUUAUGUCAUGGUUUGACAUGGACUUGAUGUAGAAACACACAGCAGAGUUAAAUGGGUGAUCUGGGUUCAGGAAGAGGAGAGGAGAGGAGAGGAGAGGAGAGGAGAGGAGAGGAGAAGAGAAGAGAAGAGAAGAGAAGAGAAGAGAAGAGAAGAGAAGAGAAGAGAAGAGAAGAGAAGAGAAGAGAAGAGAGGAGAAGAGAGGAGAGGAGAAGAGAAGAGAAGAGAAGAGAAGA